GACGAACGCUGGCGGCGUGCUUAACACAUGCAAGUCGAACGGAAAGGCCCUGCUUUUGUGGGGUGCUCGAGUGGCGAACGGGUGAGUAACACGUGAGUAACCUGCCCUUGACUUUGGGAUAACUUCAGGAAACUGGGGCUAAUACCGGAUAGGAGCUCCUGCUGCAUGGUGGGGGUUGGAAAGUUUCGGCGGUUGGGGAUGGACUCGCGGCUUAUCAGCUUGUUGGUGGGGUAGUGGCUUACCAAGGCUUUGACGGGUAGCCGGCCUGAGAGGGUGACCGGCCACAUUGGGACUGAGAUACGGCCCAGACUCCUACGGGAGGCAGCAGUGGGGAAUAUUGCACAAUGGGCGGAAGCCUGAUGCAGCAACGCCGCGUGCGGGAUGACGGCCUUCGGGUUGUAAACCGCGGGGGGGUGUGACGAAGCGUGAGUGACGGUAAUGGGUAAAGAAGCACCGGCUAACUACGUG
rnacentral:rRNA from 1 species